rnacentral:misc_RNA from 1 species
GAAAUGCGAUAAGUAAUGUGAAUUGCAGAAUUCAGUGAAUCAUCGAAUCUUUGAACGCACCUUGCGCUCCUUGGUAUUCCGAGGAGCAUGCCUGUUUGAGUGUCAUUUAAUUCUCAACCUCCGUCAGCUUUUCUGGCUGGCUGCGUGGAUUGGAUGGUGGGGGCUAUCUUGCGGGCCUCUGAAGGAGGUCGGCUCCCCUGAAAAGCAUUAGCUGGAACCGUUUGCGGGACGGUCACUGGUGUGAUAACUAUCUACGCCGAAGACCACCGCUCUCUGAUAUGUUCUGCUGCUAAUCUUCCUUCUAUUUGGACAAUGAUAUCUGAAUGCUUGACCUCAAAUCAGGUGGGACUACCCGCUGAACUUAAGC